ACUCCAGAAGCUGAAAUCCUGCUCCCUGGGAAGUGGCUCAAUAACACUUCCUGAUGGGAAGUAGAUAUUAAUUGUUUUCCCUUUAGUGACAGCUGAAGCUGGUCUGAAGCUGCACAGAUAAAUUUGGCUAUAACAGACCUCCCUCCACACCUGACCAGUCUGGAAGUAAACAAGUCUCUGAGUGAAACAAUAAUAGGUUGGAUUAGAACUCAAUCGGGGGCCCCAGCCACUCCCAUUCUAUCCUGAACACAGACAUCUAACUGGCCAGGGAGCUGGGCAGUGCUGAGACCCCGACCAAUCAGGUUCUCCUGACUGAUUACCUAGGACUCAAUUUAAAAAGCAGAUGUGAAAAGAAAUUAUUUGUAGGAAAAGGAUCAACUAUCCAACUAUUAUAUCUUUCACCAAGCCAGUGGAGACAAUUGUGUACAUUGGUGUAACAGACACAAGUCAUGAGCAGAUACAGGCAGAGGAAAUUUUUGCUUUGCAUUUCAGGGGCUCUAGAGUUGAAUCCUUGCCUUCUCACCUUCUCCAUCUAUCCCAUCAGCUCUGCACAUGGGAAUUUUCACUGUGGUUGGUAUUACUCCAGGAAUGGAAAGCUGGAAAACGAGAUUUAUUUCAUCUGGUAGUGUACACAAAGAAGCUAAGCUUUUGUGGAACUGCUGUGCAAAACAGAACCUGAAUUACAGACUUGGAGACCCAAGAAGACCCAGCAGGACUAUGUGACCUAAGUAAAU